rnacentral:lncRNA from 1 species
GUGGCCAGUUCGAGAUCACAUACUUCUUUCAAAGAACUCGACAUUUAAAAACAAAACCAAAAGUUCCAGAGCCGGGAAGCUGGAGAUGGCGAACAGUCCAGUUCACCUGCCAGUAUCUUAUCUCCCUGUCCUGUCCAGAGAGCCAUCUUUUAUAAACAAAGAACAAAACAAAACGAGGAGGGAAGAAGGCAGUCCAGCAAAAUUAACCCAGUCAUAA